GUGAUCACUUCAGCAGCACAUAUACUAAAAUUGGAACUAUAGAGAGAAGAUUAGCAUGGCCCUUGCGCAAGGAUGACACACAAAUUCAUGAAGCAUUCCAUAUUCAG
rnacentral:snRNA from 1 species